rnacentral:rRNA from 1 species
GAGUUUGAUAUUGGCUCAGGAGGAACGCGGGCGGCGUGCUUAACACAUGCAAGUCGAACGGGGUGCCCAUGAAGGAGAUUUCGGUCAACGGAUUGGGUUACUUAGUGGCGGACGGGUGAGUAACGGGUGAGGAUCCUGCCUUUCAGAGGGGGACAACAGUUGGAAAAGAGUGUUAAUACCGCAUAACAUGUAGGUGUAGCAUGGCAUUUACAUCAAAGAUUUAUGGUUGAGAGAGGGCCUCGCGUGUGAUUAGCUAGUUGGUAGGGUAACGGCCUCCCAAGGCGACGAUCAGUAGCCGGACUGAGAGGUUGUCCGGCCACAUUGGGAGUGAGAUACGGCCCAGACUCUUUCGGGAGGCAGCAGUGGGGAAUAUUGGGCAAUGGGGGCAAGCCUGACCCAGCAACGCCGCGUGA